rnacentral:rRNA from 1 species
AGGGCCCCCUUAGAGUGAGCCUCGNACUCAGCUAACACAGAGUAGCAUUGCUCUCGGAGUAGACGAGCGGCGGACGGGUGAGUAAUGUCUGGGAAACUGCCUGAUGGAGGGGGAUAACUACUGGAAACGGUAGCUAAUACCGCAUAACGUCGCAAGACCAAAGUGGGGGACCUUCGGGCCUCAUGCCAUCAGAUGUGCCCAGAUGGGAUUAGCUAGUAGGUGGGGUAACGGCUCACCUAGGCGACGAUCCCUAGCUGGUCUGAGAGGAUGACCAGCCACACUGGAACUGAGACACGGUCCAGACUCCUACGGGAGGAAGGCGGUGAGGUUAAUAACCUCAUCGAUUGACGUUACCCGCAGAAGAAGCACCGGCUAACUCCGUGCCAGCAGCCCCGGUAAUACGGAGGGUGCAAGCGUUAAUCGGAAUUACUGGGCGUAAAGCGCACGCAGGCGGUCUGUCAAGUCGGAUGUGAAAUCCCCGGGCUCAACCUGGGAACUGCAUUCGAAACUGGCAGGCUAGAGUCUUGUAGAGGGGGGUAGAAUUCCAGGUGUAGCGGUGAAAUGCGUAGAGAUCUGGAGGAAUACCGGUGGCGAAGGCGGCCCCCUGGACAAAGACUGACGCUCAGGUGCGAAAGCGUGGGGAGCAAACAGGAUUAGAUACCCUGGUAGUCCACGCUGUAAACGAUGUCGAUUUGGAGGUUGUGCCCUUGAGGCGUGGCUUCCGGAGCUAACGCGUUAAAUCGACCGCCUGGGGAGUACGGCCGCAAGGUUAAAACUCAAAUGAAUUGACGGGGGCCCGCACAAGCGGUGGAGCAUGUGGUUUAAUUCGAUGCAACGCGAAGAACCUUACCUGGUCUUGACAUCCAUGGGGAUGACGUCAAGUCAUCAUGGCCCUUACGACCAGGGCUACACACGUGCUACAAUGGCAUAUACAAAGAGAAGCGACCUCGCGAGAGCAAGCGGACCUCAUAAAGUAUGUCGUAGUCCGGAUUGGAGUCUGCAACUCGACUCCAUGAAGUCGGAAUCGCUAGUAAUCGUAGAUCAGAAUGCUACGGUGAAUACGUUCCCGGGCCUUGUACACACCGCCCGUCACACCAUGGGAGUGGGUUGCAAAAGAAGUAGGUAGCUUAACCCUCCGGAGGGCGUNUACCCACCCUUCUUGAAUGCUGGGGCCGGGUCACCCCUUUAAGGAGUUCCCU